rnacentral:misc_RNA from 1 species
GAUGAAGAACGUAGCGAAAUGCGAUAAGUAAUGUGAAUUGCAGAAUUCAGUGAAUCAUCGAAUCUUUGAACGCACAUUGCGCCCGCCAGCACUCUGGCGGGCAUGCCUGUUCGAGCGUCAUUUCAACCAUCAAGCCCCCAGGUGCUUGUGCUGGGGCCCUGCGGCUGCCCGCAGGCCCUGAAAACCAGUGGCGGGCUCGCUAGUCACACCGAGCGCAGUAGCACAUCUCGCUCAGGGCGUGCGGCGGGCUCCUGCCGUGAAACCCCCCACUGUAACCCCAAAGGUUGACCUCGGAUCAGGUAGGAAUACCCGCUGAACUUAAGCAUAUCAAUAAGCGGAGGA